AGCCACCCUCAAAUCUACAAAUCUUGAAGAUCUGGGAUUAUAAAGGUGAGGGCUUUCCCAAGUGGAUGAUGGAUAGCCUUGUAUCUUUCUUGCCACGUUUAGUUGACGUAUUUUUCGGUUAUUGCGAAAGAUGUGAACGUCUCCCCCCACUGGACCAACUACCUCACCUCAAGUCCUUACAUAUUAAGAAUUUGCCUAAAUUGGAAUAUAUCGGGUCAAACCAAUCAUCCACUUCAACAGCAUCAUUUCCUAGUCUAUCUAUAUUAAAUAUCUUUAGAUGUGAAAAAUUAAAAGCCAUGCCACUAACUCCUCAUCUCGAGGAGUUUAUGCUUGAGGCCAAUGGAGCGUUGUUAAUAAAUCGGAUGAUGCUUGGCCUUAAUAAGUUGAAGACACUGCAUAUCUCGGAUAUAAAGUUUUUAAGAUGUUUGCCUAAGGAGGGUUUCCAAAGUCUCCCUUCCCUUGAAUCUCUUAGCAUAGAUGGUUUUCCUCAAUUGACUUCCCUCUUGCAAGGUAUGCAACAUCUAUCGAGCCUAGUGGGUCUCUCUAUCUGGGGAUGUGAGGAGCUGGAUAUAUCCAAAGAUGAAAGCGGCAACAUCUUGGAUUUCCAUGGAGGCCUUCAGAGUCUCCGCUCCUUGUCAAUCUCUCGCCUUCCCAAACUGACAUCUCUCCCACAAUGGCUUCUACAGGCCCGCAAUCUUGAGCGUCUCCAAAUUUGGAGAUGCCACAAUUUGAAGGAUAUACCAGAGCAAAUCGAGGCCCUUCAAUCACUUCAAUAUCUCUUCAUCUAUAAAUGCUCCUCGUUGACAUCAUUCCCUGAAGCAAUGCGAAGGCUCACAUCCCUUACUCACCUAAUCAUCGAAGAUUGCGGAGAAUUGGAGGAGAGUUGCAAAAGACAAGCAGGCGAGGACUGGGACAAGAUCGCUCAUAUCUUGAGCAUACGAUUUGGAUAGCCGAUCGAGCCCUAAUUUUCUUCAUUGAAGGGUAUAUUUCUGCUCGAGGGGAGGACGGCAAAGGUGAUCUUUAGCAUUUGACCACGAUCGAUGCUCUCGAUCUCCUGUUCAGCCAUUCUGCAGGGGUUCUCAGGCUAGACAGAAAUGGUGUGGAUUUUGGCACUGAGGACACAAUGCCAAAUGAGGAUCACAAAGAACUCACUGACCACCAGUUAGAUCAUCUGAAUAGGUUGAUGAAACGUGAAAGGGCGUUUCAAUUGGUUUACGGAGUACUAUUGUUUGUCUUUGGGUUAUUUCCAAUUCAUAUACAUUAGCUGGUAAGCCGAUCCCAGCAACCAAGCACGUCAGGGUUGCUGAAAUUCAGUAACCCAAAGGUUAUCAAUGACAUUUCAUGGUGGGAGAUCCAAAAACAUGAGUUAUAUAACAUGAAUUAGAAAGUUUUGAAAUGGACAAGUUCAUAUUUUUGGGCUAAAUGUUCACAUUAUGUAUUGGAUUCAGCAAUAAAACACCCUAUUGCAGAUAAAUGUUCAAUGGCCAUUCAGUUGGCCUAUCGGAGGAUAUCGAGGUUCCAAGGGGCCUUAUUAUUGUGGUGUUGGGGCUGAUAAGUCAUCCGACUGAGAUAUAUCCGAUGCUCGCUACAAGGCUUGCUUAUAUGCUGGUAUCAACAUUAAUAGCACCAAUGGAGUGGUGAUCUGGGCUAGGUAAUACCUGACCUCCAGCUUGCUUGUUAUUUCAAAAAGGAAAAAAGAAAAA